rnacentral:rRNA from 1 species
CAUGCAAGUCGAGCGGGGGAAGGUAGCUUGCUACUGGACCUAGCGGCGGACGGGUGAGUAAUGCUUAGGAAUCUGCCUAUUAGUGGGGGACAACAUCUCGAAAGGGAUGCUAAUACCGCAUACGUCCUACGGGAGAAAGCAGGGGAUCUUCGGACCUUGCGCUAAUAGAUGAGCCUAAGUCGGAUUAGCUAGUUGGUGGGGUAAAGGCCUACCAAGGCGACGAUCUGUAGCGGGUCUGAGAGGAUGAUCCGCCACACUGGGACUGAGACACGGCCCAGACUCCUACGGGAGGCAGCAGUGGGGAAUAUUGGACAAUGGGGGGAACCCUGAUCCAGCCAUGCCGCGUGUGUGAAGAAGGCCUUAUGGUUGUAAAGCACUUAAGCGAGGAGGAGGCUACUUUAGUUAAUACCUAGAGAUA